rnacentral:antisense_RNA from 1 species
CUUCAGCGACCCCAGCCAGAGCGGGUGCUCCGGGGCCCGGCCCUUGCCGUACGUCGCCAUCAGCGCCUGGAUCUC